rnacentral:rRNA from 1 species
AGUCUGGUGCCAGCAGCCGCGGUAAUUCCAGCUCCAAUAGCGUAUAUUAUUAUUGUUGCGGUUAAAAAGCUCGUAGUUGGAUCUCGGUUUCGGGCGAGCGGUGUACCUUGCGGUAUUUACUGUUUGCCCGGACGAUUUUGUUGGUUCGUUUAUGGUUCUCUUAACCGAGUGCCAUAAGUGGCCAGCACGUUUACUUUGAAAAAAUUGGAGUGCUCAAAGCAGGCGCUACAGCCUGAACAUUAGUGCAUGGAAUAAUGGAAUAGGAUCUCGGUUCUAUUUCGUUGGCUUUCGGAGUCGAGGUAAUGAUUAAUAGGGACAGACGGGGGCAUUCGUACUGCGACGUUAGAGGUGAAAUUCUUGGAUCGUCGCAAGACGAACUACUGCGAAAGCAUUUGCCAAGAAUGUUUUCAUUAAUCAAGAACGAAAGUUAGAGGUUCGAAGGCGAUCAGAUACCGCCCUAGUUCUAACCAUAAACGAUGUCGACCGGCGAUCCGUUAUCGUUAACUGAAUGACUUAACGGGCAGCCUCCGGGAAACCAGAGUGUUUGGAUUCCGGGGGAAGUAUGGUUGCAAAGCUGAAACUUAAAAGAAUUGACGGAAGGGCACCACCAGGAGUGGAGCCUGCGGCUUAAUUUGACUCAACACGGGAAAUCUCACCAGGCCCGGACACCGGAAGGAUUGACAGAUUGAGAGCUCUUUCUUGAUUCGGUGGGUGGUGGUGCAUGGCCGUUCUUAGUUGGUGGAGCGAUUUGUCUGGUUAAUUCCGAUAACGAACGAGACUCUGGCCUACUAACUAGACGUUAGAUCCCUUUGUGGGUCUAUCGCAGCUUCUUAGAGGGACGGGCGGCGUUUAGCCGCACGAGAUUGAGCAAUAACAGGUCUGUGAUGUCCUUAGAUGUUCUGGGCUGCACGCGCGCUACACUGAAGGAAUCAGCGUGUGUUCCCUACCCGAAAGGGUUGGGAAACCCGUUGAACCUCCUUCGUGAUGGGGAUUGGGGAUUGCAAUUAUUCCCCAUGAACGAGGAAUUCCCAGUAGGCGCGAGUCAUAAGCUUGCGUCGAUUACGUCCCUGCCCUUUGUACACACCGCCCGUCGCUACUACCGAUCGAGUGAUUUAGUGAGGCCUUCGGACUGGUCUUCAGUAUGGCUUUCGGGUCGUGUUGGAGUACCGGAAAGAUGACCAAACUUGAUCACUUAGAGGAAGUAAAAGUCGUAACAAGGUUUCCGUAGGUGAACCUGCGGAAG